CCUACGGGUGGCAGCAGUGAGGAAUAUUGGUCAAUGGGCGGGAGCCUGAACCAGCCAAGUCGCGUGAGGGAAGACGGUCCUAUGGAUUGUAAACCUCUUUAGGCGGGGAGCAAUGCCGGGCACGCGUGCCGGGAGGGAGAGUACCCGCAGAAUAAGCAUCGGCUAACUCCGUGCCAGCAGCCGCGGUAAUACGGAGGAUGCGAGCGUUAUCCGGAUUUUUUGGGUUUAAAGGGUGCGUAGGCGGAUUGUUAAGUCAGCGGUAAAAUGUCGGGGCUCAACCCGGGCCGGCCGUUGAAACUGGUGAUCUUGAGUGGGCGAGAAGUAUGCGGAAUGCGUGGUGUAGCGGUGAAAUGCAUAGAUAUCACGCAGAACUCCGAUUGCGAAGGCAGCAUACCGGCGCCCGACUGACGCUGAGGCACGAAAGCGUGGGGAUCGAACAGGAUUAGAUACCCGUGUAGUC
rnacentral:rRNA from 1 species